rnacentral:rRNA from 1 species
UACGUAGGGGGCAAGCGUUGUCCGGAUUUAUUGGGCGUAAAGAGCGUGUAGGCGGCCUGAUAGGUCGGUUGUGAAAACUGGAGGCUUAACCUUCAGACGUCGACCGAAAACCAUCUGGCUAGAGUCCGGAAGAGGAGAGUGGAAUUCCUGGUGUAGCGGUGAAAUGCGCAGAUAUCAGGAAGAACACCCGUGGCUAAGGCGGCUCUCUAGUACGGUACUGACGCUGAAGACGCGAAAGCGUGGGGAGCGAACAGG